rnacentral:rRNA from 1 species
ACAGCAGUCGCCACGGGAAUACGGAGGGGGCUAGCGUUGUUCGGAAUUACUGGGCGUAAAGCGCACGUAGGCGGCUUGGUAAGUUAGAGGUGAAAGCCUGGAGCUCAACUCCAGAAUUGCCUUUAAGACUGCCGAGCUAGCAGGUGAGAGAGGUAAGUGGAAUUCCGAGUGUAGAGGUGAAAUUCGUAGAUAUUCGGAAGAACACCAGUGACGAAGGCGGCUUACUGGCUCAUACUGGACGCUGAGGUGCGAAAGCGUGGGGAGCAAACAGGAUUAGAUACCCCUGUAGUCCCUGUCUCUUAUAC